GCUUAUGGCCAUACCACCCUGAGAACGCCCGAUCUUGUCUGAUCUCGGAAGCUAAGCAGGGUCGGGUCUGGUUAGUACUUGGAUGGGAGACCGCCUGGGAGUACCAGGUGCUGUAAGCU
rnacentral:rRNA from 1 species